CCUACGGGUGGCAGCAGUGAGGAAUAUUGGUCAAUGGACGAGAGCCUGAACCAGCCAAGUAGCGUGAAGGAUGACGGCCCUAUGGUUUGUAAACUUCUUUUAUAUGGGAAUAAACUGUGCCACGUGUGGUGUUUUGUAUGUACCUUAUGAAUAAGGAUCGGCUAACUCCGUGCCAGCAGCCGCGGUAAUACGGAGGAUCCGAGCGUUAUCCGGAUUUAUUGGGUUUAAAGGGAGCGUAGGUGGAAUGUUAAGUCAGUUGUGAAAGUUUGCGGCUCAACCGUAGAAUUGCCGUUGAAACUGGCAGUCUUGAGUACAGUAGAGGUGGGCGGAAUGCGUGGUGUAGCGGUGAAAUGCUUAGAUAUCACGAAGAACUCCGAUUGCGAAGGCAGCUCACUGGACUGCAACUGACACUGAGGCUCGAAAGUGUGGGUAUCAAACAGGAUUAGAUACCCGAGUAGUC
rnacentral:rRNA from 1 species